AGCGAACGCUGGCGGCAGGCCUAACACAUGCAAGUCGAACGAACCUUUCGGGGUUAGUGGCGGACGGGUGAGUAACACGUGGGAACGUGCCUUUAGGUUCGGAAUAACUCAGGGAAACUUGUGCUAAUACCGAAUGUGCCCUUCGGGGGAAAGAUUAAUCGCCUUUAGAGCGGCCCGCGUCUGAUUAGCUAGUUGGUUGAGGUAAUGGCUCACCAAGGCGACGAUCAGUAGCUGGUCUGAGAGGAUGAUCAGCCACAUUGGGACUGAGACACGGCCCAAACUCCUACGGGAGGCAGCAGUGGGGAAUCUUGCGCAAUGGGCGAAAGCCUGACGCAGCCAUGCCGCGUGAAUGAUGAAGGUCUUAGGAUUGUAAAAUUCUUUCAACGGGGACGAUAAUGACGGUACCCGGAUAAGAAGCCCCGGCUAACUUCGUG
rnacentral:rRNA from 1 species